rnacentral:rRNA from 1 species
CGCGUAGGCGGGAUGGCAAGUCGGUCGUGAAAUCCCUCGGCUCAACCGAGGAACGUCGAUCGAUACUGCCGUUCUUGAGGGUUGCAGAGGAGACUGGAAUUCCCGGUGUAGCGGUGAAAUGUGUAGAGAUCGGGAGGAACACCGGUGGCGAAGGCGGGUCUCUGGGCAAUUCCUGACGCUGAGGCGCGAAAGCGUGGGAGCAAACG